GGGUGCAAUAUAGUCGCAUUUGUAGUUAUCUUUGGAGACUUCGUCAACGGUGAUUUUCUCCACGGGUUUGCCUCCUUUAGCUAAAAUCAGAAGAAAAAUGAUUUUAAUUCCUUAUAGACACGUACGUGUUUAGACUGACAAUGUGUGUUCUACCUGCGGGCUCGACGGUGACAUGGACAUCUCCCUUGCCGGCAUCCUUGCAGUCUAUAGUGAACCAUGUUGGUUUUCCAGGAUUUACACCAGUAGGUGCAACACCUGGUCCCGCGACCUUGACUUUAGAUGAAUCACCGGCGGGCUUGAUGGGAACUUUAAAAGGGCUGCCAGGGACGUGCUUGGACCCGUAGGUGACAUUAACUCUGUGGGGUACUACAAAAGAUAAUUAUGAACCAGUUUAAAUAGGUCCUGGCUAUGACAGGAUGGUAGCAGAGUAAUUAUUAUACAUAAUAAUGGCUAGUUUAAAUUUUUUUUUUGAAAAAUAAUGUACCAAGGGUUUCCAAGAAUGCAAUGCAAUGUCUA